GCAGAAGGAGGCUGAAAGAAUCCCUCCUCAUAUGCUUGGACAACUUCCUGGAGGAGAGAUGUUCCAUCUGAAGGACCUGAGGUCUCCUCCAUCCUACCAUGGUGACAACCUGCCUUGUCCUGAAGCCAAGAGUAUCUCUCAGAGCCCAAUGGAUGAAGCUUACCUGGGAGCUGGGACUAGGGGAGGUCAACAGAGGAUGGAAAGACUGAGGGUGUGUGGGGAAGUGGAAAUGGGCAGGGCUUCUUUGUGGGCUAAAUAGUAACUUGAAAAGAAUAGCAAGAAUAAAGUUUUGCACAAGUAUAC
rnacentral:lncRNA from 1 species